rnacentral:lncRNA from 1 species
UGGGUGAUAUGGCGAUGGUUGAGCUGGGAGAAAACUGUCCCUUGCUUAAAGAAAUAGUACUUUCACACUCCCGUCAAAUUACUGACGUUGGUCUAGCACAUCUUGUGAAAAGUUGCACGAUGCUGGAAUCAUGUCACAUGGUUUAUUGCUCUGGUAUAACUUCAGCUGGUGUAGCCACGGUUGUUUCUAGCUGUCCCAACAUAAAGAAGGUACUUGUUGAAAAGUGGAAGGUUAGCCAGCGGACCAAGCGACGCGCCGGCUCAGUCAUCGCCUACUUGUGUGUGGACCUUUAGAGACCUUUGGUAUAUAUUUGCAUCUUUGGGAAUUUUUUUCAGUCUGAUAUAUUAAUAAAGCUGCUGGCAAGUUGCAGCCUGAAUUUAUUUCUAGUAUAAAAGAGGAGGCAAUACUAGGAUAUGCAUGGGCACAUAUGUUGUAAAUUAAGCAGCUCUUUGGUCCCUUACAGGAUAUGUAUCAAGAGUGUAGAAACCUUGGUAAGAGAAAUAAAUGUUAUUGAUACUUUGAUAGUAGCAUGAUUUAUGGUUAGAUACAUAUAAAUGGAUUUUAUGAGAUAUGAUCCUGAUGUUGCUGUAAUACAUAAUAGAAGAAUCUUGUCGAGCAAACUUAGGUACUGAUCAAGUAUAAUUCCAGAACAUGAAAUGUUAGAGCACAAUUUUUUCGUUGUAUUUGAACCAGCUCUAGCUAGUUUUUUUCCCUCCAAAAAUACUGGUCCCUUGGUAAAUGGUAAUCUAGCAUUCUCCAGAAUAUUUUUUUCUUAAAAAGAUGCUUGAAUUUUAACAAACGAAAUUAUGUGAUCGAGUAAAUGUAAAAAGAGUUAAAAGCAAAGUUAUUUGAUCCUUUCACAUGAAACAUUGAGAUUGAAAGUUGUUUUUGGGGCAAUAUUUGGUGGAUGAAAGUUAAUUUCUAUAUGAAAUGACAUCAUAUAUGUAUAUUACUAAAGAUAGGAAAACUCGAACCCACAAUCUCUUAGGUGAGUAUGGAGAGACAAUGUCAUUUGAGUUAUAACUCAUUGGCAAAUGACAUCAUAUAUUUGAAGGUUAAUUUAUUAGACAAUAUACUAGAUUUGGAGAAAUAUAUCUUUAAAAAGUUUUAUAAAAAUAAAAUUUUAACCUGAUUUUUUAUAAGUACUAGCAUUAAGAAUAGAUUGCACUGUAUUUAUUGAAUUCAUAAUUCAUGGAUGAGAAAUUGUAAAAAACAUGGUGAUUAUUUUAGGCUAAGUUACGAAAAACUUCUCUGUAUACGAUAUUUAUCGUUGUAUUAGGAAGUACAGAUGAAUGAUUCUGAAUCAAAACUCUCAGUCCUUGCUUAGAUUUUACUCGUGACAAAGCAACGUACAAUUGCCCAUGAGUGAAAACAGGCCUAGGCAGGUACAACCUAACUGUGCUUAACGUUUGUCCUUGUGACUUAUUAAUAGUCAUAGCGAACGAAACGAUAAUGGGAAACUGUCUCCGCUGAAACCUGAAUGGAAGAGUCUGGUUGUUAGAUAUCAUGUUCAUGCGUGGAAUUAGUACCACCUGCCCAGUUUUGUCUCCAGUCAAUGUCAUACAUUCAAUUACAUGAGUGCCCAGCCUUCUUACCUGUAGCCUUGUUCCGUUACAUAACCCACUUGAUUGAUCAAUAUUACGGAAAAACAUCACAGGCACGCCUUCUUUCAAUGUUAGUUGGUGUGGAGGCAGUCCGGAGCAAUUAAUGGCAUUUAGGACAUCUGGGGUUAGCGUUUCUAACUCGGAUUCCAUGUUCCCUUCCUCAAAGCACAAUGUAUCGGAGCUAAGAUAAGUUUUUUCCUCACCACUUAAUUGUUGCAUUACGUAUGCAUUGACCUCGUUAACCACUUCCAACGUGGGAGCAAGAAUUGAUCUUUCCUUGAAGUAUUCCAUGCGGUUAAUGUUGUUCAACAAUUUUGGAUAGACAAAUAUCACCAAUUCACGAAAUGCCUCUGCACUAUCAUGUAUUAACAUUUCUUUUGGAAUCUCCACCUCUGAUUCGCCUUCUGUUGAGUCCCUUACCAACACAUCACCAAUUUUUAGUAGCCAGUCAGCAAAUUCUUUGAUCAUGCUUACCUCAGAUACAUUCGUUCCCAUUGUUAGUCGCAUGUUUUCUGUUAGUGUAAGGACCUGGCAGAAGCGCCACAAAUAUGAAGAGUUUAUUGAAGCAUGCACAAUUUCUUGACGUGAUCCCAUUGGAAUGACAGGUAGUAUCUGUCUAAAGUCUCCACCUAGGACGACAACCUUCCCCAUGAAAGGCAAAUCUGCAUUGUAGUAAGACUCGAACCUAAGUAUGUCGCACAAGCACUUAUCCAGUAAUUCAUAACAAAGUUUGUUCAACAUUGGUGCCUCAUCCCAGAUGAUUAGUUUAGCCUUGCAGACCAACCUUGCCAAUGAACUUCCUUGUUUAAUGCAACAUAUUGAGUCCUCAUUUAUAUCCAAGGGUAUCUUAAACCUGGAAUGCGCAGUACGCCCAUUUGGAAGGAGUAGAGAGGCAAUGCCACUUGAUGCAACAUUGAGCACAAUAUGACCUUCACUACGAAUUGCAGCUGAAAGGGUCAUUUAUAGAUAUGUCUUACCGGUCCCACCAUACCCAUAGACAAAGAAGAAACCACCUUCGUGCUUGUUAACAGCAUUAUUUAUGAUAUGAAAUGCCUUUCUUUGAGCUUCAUUCAUGCUCUGUAAGUUUGAUGACAAAUUGACAACUCAUCCUUUAGAGAUGAUAAGUCAAAGUUAAGCUCGUCCAUCAACAUUCUGUCGUCUAAUCCAUCAAUAACAUCCAGAGUUGGUAGAGGCAUAUGAUCAUACUCUUUGAGAGAGCGACCAUUGGCCUGUAGUUUCUUCUCUAUCUUUGUUAACGUCAUAUUCAUUAUUUGUUCCUCAGAUAGGUGUAUGUCUGCACAUGAGAAUUAGUGGGGUUACUAACCAGAAUAAUUAUCCUUAGUAGAUGUAUGCUUCAUGAGUUUAGAAGAGGCAAUACAUAUGCAUUUGGUCUAACCUUCGCAUUGCAUGCAUUUCCUUUGUGAGUAUAGUACAUCUUCAGAUAGUACAUGACAGCAUUGCUGCCAUACAAUUGCUGGUCUACCAAUGUUAUUUGACAAUAGCAGCACAACAAAAAGGUCUCAAAGAUAGUUUGCAAACGCCCAUGUGCUUGCCUCUAGUAAUGCAUCAAUGAAAUCUUUGUCGUCUUGCAGCAACCCCAGUGCAUAACAGGCUUCCUUAAAUGUGUCAUAUAGAACACCAUCAACAGUGCGUAAAUCAACAAAACUUAGGCACCCCUUCUGUAUAUUUAGUAACAGCCUCAGAUAGUAGUCAUCGUCGUUCCCACGUGGAACAUGUGUUAGUCUCCCAACUGAAAAUCCUUGCUUCCUCGGCAUGCACAUUGAAAUAUCAUCCUUCUAUACAAACUUGGUUGGAAAUUGGCUAUACGUUAAGGAUCUACCGAAUUCGAACAAUCUAUUUGCAAGCAUCCAUGCCAGAAGCUUUGUCAACUUCCCAUCAAUUAUGUCGAUAACAUCCACAAUGUUUUCAUGGUCUCUAAAUACGCAUUGCGGUUGGAGAGCAUUGUAAUUUGCUAACUGAUCUUAGCAUCCGAUUCUGUGAUAGGUAAAACCUUUCUCACUACAUAUCUAUCGCUCCAUUUUCCACUGAAAAUUUGAAAUCAUUUUCACCUACACUAACAAUUUUGUCUGGUUGUUUUAUUGUGUUGAUAACUCCUGUACUUCUUUUCUUAUAUCAUCAGUACUAUUGUGUAGAAUGUCUACAUUAAUCAUGUUUGUUAAAUUACUAGGGUUGGGGAUGAGGCUCUUAUCGCAGUAUCUGAGGGUUGUAACCUUCAGUAUCUCAAUGUUAGUGGUUGCCACCUAGUUGGAGAUGCUGGAGUGAUAGCCAUUGCAAGGGGAUGCCCUCAACUCUGUUAUAUAGAUGUGAGCGUGCUGCCGGUAUGUGCUCAUCUCUGUCUCUCUUUCUAUAUCGAAAGUACAUAUAGCUUUUUUAAGUUCCAUGUUUCAACUAUUUGCUUUCUAAUUUUCGUGGUCUUUUCCAAGAUUUUCUUGAUUCCAUCAUUGUUGUUCCCCUAAAAUAGCAUUGAUGAACUACAUUCACAUUUUUAAGUAGUGCAUAGAUUUUUUAGUAUAUUUGGAGAUACUUGAUGCCAAACCCCUGCUUUAGGCAUAUAUGUGGACUCUGCAACUGCACUGCAUAAUCACUUAAUAUCUAUGUGAAAGUUGAAUAUUUCAUUAUGAAUAUAGUACUUUUUUUGUUCAAUUUUUUGUUUACGUUUCAAUUCAUUUUUUUCCUCAUCACAAUUGCAGAAGUUGGGUGAUAUGGCGAUGGUUGAGCUGGGAGAAAACUGUCCCUUGCUUAAAGAAAUAGUACUUUCACACUCCCGUCAAAUUACUGACGUUGGUCUAGCACAUCUUGUGAAAAGUUGCACGAUGCUGGAAUCAUGUCACAUGGUUUAUUGCUCUGGUAUAACUUCAGCUGGUGUAGCCACGGUUGUUUCUAGCUGUCCCAACAUAAAGAAGGUACUUGUUGAAAAGUGGAAGGUUAGCCAGCGGACCAAGCGACGCGCCGGCUCAGUCAUCGCCUACUUGUGUGUGGACCUUUAGAGACCUUUGGUAUAUAUUUGCAUCUUUGGGAAUUUUUUUCAGUCUGAUAUAUUAAUAAAGCUGCUGGCAAGUUGCAGCCUGAAUUUAUUUCUAGUAUAAAAGAGGAGGCAAUACUAGGAUAUGCAUGGGCAC